GACGAACGCUGGCGGCGUGCCUAAUACAUGCAAGUCGAACGAGGGGCGGACGGGUGAGUAACACGUGGGAACCUACCCAUCAGAGGGGGAUAACACUUGGAAACAGGUGCUAAUACCGCAUACUGAUGGAUGGACCCGCGGUGCAUUAGCUAGUCGGCGGGGUAAAGGCCCACCAAGGCGACGAUCCGUAGCUGGUCUGAGAGGAUGAUCAGCCACACUGGAACUGAGACACGGUCCAGACUCCUACGGGAGGCAGCAGUGGGGAAUAUUGGACAAUGGGCGCAAGCCUGAUCCAGCCAUACCGCGUGGGUGAAGAAGGCCUUCGGGUUGUAAAGCCCUUUUGUUGGGAAAGCGGUACCCAAAGAAUAAGCACCGGCUAACUUCGUGCCAGCAGCCGCGGUAAUUC
rnacentral:rRNA from 1 species